rnacentral:rRNA from 1 species
GCUGACGAGUGGCGGACGGGUGAGUAAUGUCUGGGAAACUGCCUGAUGGAGGGGGAUAACUACUGGAAACGGUGGCUAAUACCGCAUAACGUCGCAAGACCAAAGAGGGGGACCUUCGGGCCUCUUGCCAUCAGAUGUGCCCAGAUGGGAUUAGCUUGUUGGUGAGGUAACGGCUCACCAAGGCGACGAUCCCUAGCUGGUCUGAGAGGAUGACCAGCCACACUGGAACUGAGACACGGUCCAGACUCCUACGGGAGGCAGCAGUGGGGAAUAUUGCACAAUGGGCGCAAGCCUGAUGCAGCCAUGCCGCGUGUAUGAAGAAGGCCUUCGGGUUGUAAAGUACUUUCAGCGGGGAGGAAGGUGUUGUGGUUAAUAACCGCAGCAAUUGACGUUACCCGCAGAAGAAGCACCGGCUAACUCCGUGCCAGCAGCCGCGGUAAUACGGAGGGUGCAAGCGUUAAUCGGAAUUACUGGGCGUAAAGCGCACGCAGGCGGUCUGUCAAGUCGGAUGUGAAAUCCCCGGGCUCAACCUGGGAACUGCAUUCGAAACUGGCAGGCUUGAGUCUUGUAGAGGGGGGUAGAAUUCCAGGUGUAGCGGUGAAAUGCGUAGAGAUCUGGAGGAAUACCGGUGGCGAAGGCGGCCCCCUGGACAAAGACUGACGCUCAGGUGCGAAAGCGUGGGGAGCAAACAGGAUUAGAUACCCUGGUAGUCCACGCCGUAAACGAUGUCUACUUGGAGGUUGUGCCCUUGAGGCGUGGCUUCCGGAGCUAACGCGUUAAGUAGACCGCCUGGGGAGUACGGCCGCAAGGUUAAAACUCAAAUGAAUUGACGGGGGCCCGCACAAGCGGUGGAGCAUGUGGUUUAAUUCGAUGCAACGCGAAGAACCUUACCUGGUCUUGACAUCCACAGAACUUUCCAGAGAUGGAUUGGUGCCUUCGGGAACUGUGAGACAGGUGCUGCAUGGCUGUCGUCAGCUCGUGUUGUGAAAUGUUGGGUUAAGUCCCGCAACGAGCGCAACCCUUAUCCUUUGUUGCCAGCGGUUAGGCCGGGAACUCAAAGGAGACU